rnacentral:rRNA from 1 species
AUUGAACGCUGGCGGCAGGCCUAACACAUGCAAGUCGAGCGGAGCGGCGGACGGGUGAGUCAUGCCUAGGAAUCUGCCUGGUAGUGGGGGAUAACGUCCGGAAACGGGCGCUAAUACCGCAUCCUUUCAGAUGAGCCUAGGUUGGAUGAGCUUGAUGGUGGGGUAAAGGCCUACAAAGGCGACGAUCCGUCACUGGUCUGAGAGGAUGAUCAGUCACGCUGGAGCUGAGACGCGGUCCAGAGUACGACGUGAGGAAGCAGUGGGGAAUAUUGGACUAAGGGCGUAAGCCUGAUCCAUCUAUGACGCGGGUGUGAAGAAGGUAGUCAGAUUGUAAUGCACAGUAAGUUGGGGGGCGGUAACUACCCAGAAAGGGACGGCUAACUACGUGCCAGCAGCGGCGGUAAUUC